CUGGCUCAGAACGAACGCUGGCGGCAGGCUUAACACAUGCAAGUCGAACGCAUCCUUCGGGGUGAGUGGCAGACGGGUGAGUAACACGUGGGAACGUACCCCUUUGUUCGGAAUAACCCUGGGAAACUAGGGCUAAUACCGGAUACGGCCGGAAGGCGAAAGGUUUACCGCAGAGGGAUCGGCCCGCGUCCGAUUAGCUAGUUGGUGAGGUAACGGCUCACCAAGGCGACGAUCGGUAGCUGGUCUGAGAGGAUGACCAGCCACAUUGGGACUGAGACACGGCCCAAACUCCUACGGGAGGCAGCAGUGGGGAAUAUUGGACAAUGGGCGCAAGCCUGAUCCAGCCAUGCCGCGUGAGUGAUGACGGCCUUAGGGUUGUAAAGCUCUUUUACCUGGGAAGAUAAUGACGGUACCAGGAGAAUAAGCCCCGGCUAACUUCGUGCCAGCAGCCGCGGUAAUACGAAGGGGGCUAGCGUUGUUCGGAUUUACUGGGCGUAAAGGGCGCGUAGGCGGGCGAAUAAGUCAGGGGUGAAAUCCCAAGGCUCAACCUUGGAACUGCCUUUGAUACUGUUUGUCUUGAGUUCGAGAGAGGUAAGUGGAACUGCGAGUGUAGAGGUGAAAUUCGUAGAUAUU
rnacentral:rRNA from 1 species